rnacentral:rRNA from 1 species
GAUGAACGCUGACAGAAUGCUUAACACAUGCAAGUCAACUUGAACUUCGGUUUGGGUGGCGGACGGGUGAGUAACGCGUAAAGAACUUGCCUCACAGAUAGGGACAACAUUUGGAAACGAAUGCUAAUACCUGAUAUUAUGAUUUUAGGGCAUCCUAGGAUUAUGAAAGCUAUAUGCGCUGUGAGAGAGCUUUGCGUCCCAUUAGCUAGUUGGAGAGGUAACGGCUCACCAAGGCGAUGAUGGGUAGCCGGCCUGAGAGGGUGAUCGGCCACAAGGGGACUGAGACACGGCCCUUACUCCUACGGGAGGCAGCAGUGGGGAAUAUUGGACAAUGGACCAAGAGUCUGAUCCAGCAAUUCUGUGUGCACGAUGAAGUUUUUCGGAAUGUAAAGUGCUUUCAGUUGGGAAGAAAAAAAUGACGGUACCAACAGAAGAAGUGACGGCUAAAUACGUGCCAGCAGCCGCGGUAAUACGUAUGUCACAAGCGUUAUCCGGAUUUAUUGGGCGUAAAGCGCGUCUAGGUGGUUAUAUAAGUCUGGUGUGAAAAUGCAGGGCUCAACUCUGUAUUGCGUUGGAAACUGUGUAACUAGAGUACUGGAGAGGUAAGCGGAACUACAAGUGUAGAGGUGAAAUUCGUAGAUAUUUGUAGGAAUGCCGAUGGGGAAGCCAGCUUACUGGACAGAUACUGACGCUGAAGCGCGAAAGCGUGGGUAGCAAACAGG